GAAAGCCUCAAAUUGGCGCCUUCUGGUUUCUUAACUGAAUAAUGGCGUCGCUAUUUCUGCUCGUCAUCCGCUUGGGAAGUCAUUUCGUCUGGGAGGCUACGUCAAAUUCCCCGUGCCAGGUCAGGGAAGAGUUUUUUGUAUCAUUCUUUUUACCCGGGAGUUAUCAGGAAUCGCCGAGGACAGGUGUGGGUGACAGGAGCAGCAGCAGCAGCAGCAGUAACGCCCACUGGUAUAAAAGGAGAGCUUUCCAGUCAACAGCAACCAGUCGGUGUCUUACAGCAACGAAAGCAGACUCCUCUCUCUUCCCUUUCCAGAAGCUCCAGCCAAGAUGAAGGUACUCGCCAACCUGAGCAUGACUCUUGCCUUCCUCGUCGUCGUCCUCGUCAUCGGCAUGACCUCUGCCAUUCCCUGGGGCACAGGAAACGGUGUUGCUAGGCCCGGAUUCAACGUUGGGGGCUUCGGUUACGGAGGCGACAACAGCCGAGAGGUCGGUUACGACAAUUCCCGGGAAGAUGUAGGUUACGGACGUAGGUGGUGAGCACCCAGAUACGGCCGUUGCUUGAUCAAGCACGCUUCCAAGACGACCGCUGGAGACACUAUCGGAUAAACGCAGCUGAUUUUCCUAUGAUUUUGGUUUUAUUUGUUUUUUCUUUGUAAAAUUUUCUACUACUGUUUGUCUGGAAGUAACCUUCAAGAUAUCGAUGUCUUAACCUACAAUAAAUUCUAAUUUCACGGUUU